rnacentral:piRNA from 1 species
UUCGAUAGCUGCCUUGGAAGGGGUCA